AGGGCAGGGCAGGGCAGAUAGCGCCCCCUGCGGGGCAGGUCGACGAUAGGGGACACGUAGCAUCCCCCUCCCUGCCGGCAGGUCGACGAUAGGGGGCAGGUCGACCAUAGGGGGCAGGUAGCGCCCCCUAAAGGGCAAGUCGGGGGGCAGGUAGCGCCCCCCUGUGGGGCAGGUCGACGACAGGGUAGCGCCCCCUGCGGGGCAGGUCGACGACAGGGUAGCGCCCCCUGCGGGGCAGGUCGACGACAGGGGACAGGUAGUGCCCCUUGCGGGGCAAGUCGGAGGGCAGGUAGCGCCCCCUGCGGGGCAGGUCGACGACAGGGGACAGGUAGUGCCCCUUGCGGGGCAAGUCGGAGGGCAGGUAGCGCCCCCUGCGGGGCAGGUCGACGAUAGGGGGUAGGUAGUGCCCCUUGCCGGGCAAGUCGGAGGGCAGGUAGCGCCCCCUGCGGGGCAGGUCGACGAUAGGGGGUAGGUAGCGCCCCCUGCGGGGCAAGUCGGAGGGCAGGUAGCGCCCCCUGCGGGGCAAGUCGACGAUAGGGGGUAGGUAGCGCCCCCUGCGGGGCAAGUCGGAGGGUAAGUAGCACCCCCUGCGGGGCAGGUCGACAACAGGGGACAGGUAGCGCCCCUUGCGGGGCUAGUCGGAGGGCAGGUAGCGCCCCCUGCGGGGCAAGUCGGAGAACAGGUAGCGCCCCCUGUGGGGCAAGUCGGAGGGCAGGUAGCGCCCCCUGUGGGGCAAGUCGGAGGGCAGGUAGCGCCCCCUGCCGGGCGGGUGUGGUGAGCGGGCAGGCGGGCGGGCGGCCGCCAGGGUCGCAGG